rnacentral:rRNA from 1 species
UACAGAGGGUGCGAGCGUUAAUCGGAAUUACUGGGCGUAAAGGGCGCGUAGGCGGUUAGAUAAGUUAUGUGUGAAAGGCUUGGGCUUAACCUGGGACCUGCACAUAAAACUGUGUAGCUAGAGUAGAGUAGAGGAAAGUGGAAUUUCCGGUGUAGCGGUGAAAUGCGUAGAUAUCGGAAGGAACACCAGUGGCGAAGGCGGCUUUCUGGACUCAUACUGACGCUGAGGCGCGAAAGCGUGGGGAGCAAACAGG